GAUGAACGCUAGCUACAGGCUUAACACAUGCAAGUCGCGGGGCAGCAUGGGGGUUGCUUGCAAUCCCCGAUGGCGACCGGCGCACGGGUGAGUAACGCGUAUCCAACCUGCCCUUCACCACGGGAUAACCCGGCGAAAGUCGGACUAAUACCGUAUGUUGUCCAUUGACGGCAUCCGAUUUGGACGAAAGGUGUGGCGGUGAAGGAGGGGGAUGCGUCCGAUUAGCUGGACGGCGGGGUGACGGCCCACCGUGGCGACGAUCGGUAGGGGUUCUGAGAGGAAGGUCCCCCACACUGGAACUGAGACACGGUCCAGACUCCUACGGGAGGCAGCAGUGAGGAAUAUUGGUCAAUGGGCGUAAGCCUGAACCAGCCAAGUAGCGUGCAGGAUGACGGCCCUAUGGGUUGUAAACUGCUUUUAUGCGGGGAUAAAGUGGCCCACGUGUGGGUUUUUGCAGGUACCGCAUGAAUAAGGACCGGCUAAUUCCGUG
rnacentral:rRNA from 1 species